rnacentral:rRNA from 1 species
CAAGUCGAACGGGGCCCUUCGGGGUCCAGUGGCGCACGGGUGCGUAACGCGUAUGAAACCUACCUACCACUGGGGGAUAGCCCUCCGAAAGGAGGAUUAAUACCGCAUAACACAGCUUGAGGGCAUCUGAGGGCUGUUAAAGAUUUAUCGGUGGUAGAUGGGCAUGCGUGCCAUUAGCUAGUUGGCGGGGUAACGGCCCACCAAGGCGACGAUGGCUAGGGGUUCUGAGAGGAUGAUCCCCCACACUGGCACUGAGAUACGGGCCAGACUCCUACGGGAGGCAGCAGUAGGGAAUAUUGGGCAAUGGGCGGAAGCCUGACCCAGCCAUGCCGCGUGCAGGAUGAAGGCCUUCUGGGUUGUAAACUGCUUUUACCAGGGAAGAAAAGACCCAUGCGUGGGGCACUGACGGUACCUGGGGAAUAAGCACCGGCUAACUCCGUGCCAGCAGCCGCGGUAAUACGGAGGGUGCAAGCGUUGUCCGGAUUUAUUGGGUUUAAAGGGUGCGUAGGCGGCCCCUUAAGUCAGUGGUGAAAGCCCGCGGCUCAACCGCGGAACUGCCAUUGAUACUGGGGGGCUUGAGUACAGACGAGGUAGGCGGAAUUGAAGAUGUAGCGGUGAAAUGCUUAGAUAUCUUCAAGAACCCCGAUUGCGUAGGCAGCUUACUAGGCUGUAACUGACGCUGAGGCACGAAAGCGU